rnacentral:rRNA from 1 species
UGCCAGCAGCCGCGGUAAUACGAAGGUCCCAAGCGUUGUUCGGAUUUACUGGGCGUAAAGCGUCUGUAGGCUGUAGGGUAAGUCAGAUGUGAAAUCCCGGGGCUCAACCUCGGAACUGCAUCCGAUACUGCCUUACUAGAGUAUUGGAGGGGCAUCUGGAAUUCACGGUGUAGCAGUGAAAUGCGUAGAUAUCGUGAGGAACACUAGUGGCGAAGGCGAGAUGCUGGACAAUUACUGACGCUGAGAGACGAAGGCCAGGGUAGCGAAAAGGAUUAGAUA